rnacentral:snRNA from 1 species
GUGCUCACCUCGGCAGCACAUAGACUAAAAUUGGAAUGAUACAGAGAUUAGCAUGGCCCCUGAGUAAGGAUGACACGCAAAUUCCUGAAGUGUUCCAUAUUAAA